rnacentral:rRNA from 1 species
AACGAACGCUGGCGGCAGGCCUAACACAUGCAAGUCGAACGCACCUUCGGGUGAGUGGCGCACGGGUGAGUAACACGUGGGAAUGUACCCUUUGGUUCGGAAUAACGUUUGGAAACGAACGCUAAUACCGGAUGAGCCCUACGGGGGAAAGAUUUAUCGCCAAAGGAGCAGCCCGCGUCUGAUUAGCUAGUUGGUGGGGUAAAGGCCUACCAAGGCGACGAUCAGUAGCUGGUCUGAGAGGAUGAUCAGCCACACUGGGACUGAGACACGGCCCAGACUCCUACGGGAGGCAGCAGUGGGGAAUAUUGGACAAUGGGCGGAAGCCUGAUCCAGCCAUGCCGCGUGAGUGAUGAAGGCCUUCGGGUUGUAAAGCUCUUUCGCACACGACGAUGAUGACGGUAGUGUGAGAAGAAGCCCCGGCUAACUUCGUGCCAGCAGCCGCAGUAAUAC